UCCUCUCUAUCCUGUCCAGAUAAAGUAAAACCGAAAUCAAAAAAGAAGGAGGAACCAAGUUCGAUAUUCCAGCGUCAGAGAGUGGAUAUGCUUCUCCUGGAUAUACGGCAAAAAUUCCAGCCCAAGUUUAUUCAGCCCAAAUCUGGAGACAAGCCUGUGCCAGUGGAGCAAGUGAAAAAGGAAACUGAGCCAACAACUGAGACCAUCAAACAGGAGGAGAAAGACUCCACAAAGAACUCGCAGCAGAGCUCAAGCACCAAGGCUCCUCCUGAGAAACGAAUGCGACUCCAGUGAAGAGGUGAUGAAUGUCUGUCACUGGCUUGAGUUGCCAAAUCUCUGGCUCAAUUGUUGUGAGCCGUUGAACUUUUGGACUUUAUUUUGCACAGAAGUGAAUUUUGUUUUGUGCUUUUUAUUUUUAUACGUCAAACAUGAAAUGGGUUCAUCUCUAGGAGAGGCUUAAUCUCUUCAGUUCUUAAUCCUCGUCCAAUUCCAAGAUAUCAUCCGUUCUUAUUGCUUCAGACAUUUUCUGCGGACCAUCCUGCUUCACUAGAUAAGAAGAGGAAUCAGUAUAAAGAUGCAAAGCUGUCAUUUUAAGAAUGACAGUCUAAAGUGAUCAAGCUUAGACUAAGUGAUGAGACUUCUUACGCUUGGAAUGAUAUUGAGGAAAUUAGUUGUUAUUAUCCUAUGACACCAUUCUUUAACCAGUGGAUAUCCAUGGGCAGUACAAAUUGGAAUCGCAUCAAUCUACAUGGACACUAUUCCAGCAAAGCUAACAUUUGGUAGAUGUUUAUAAAUAAGAUUUUAUCUCAAUAGCUACAGAUUUUCAUUGUGUCUUGAUAGUCAGAGGGGGUGUUUUAUUUGUGGUGUAGAAUGUUCUGCCCACUGUGUUGUUAAUGACACAGUGCUGCUUUCUGUCUGACUGAGAUUGGGAAUGCAUUGCCUAGAAGUGUUCCUGCAAGUCCUACCACAGCGUGCAUCUUAGCAAUGCAUUGUGUUGCUUUGUAAAGGUAGAUAAUUAAAAAUCAAAGAGCCAAGAGCUCCCCACCUAAUGAUUUACUUGGUAACGGCAGCUUUUAGAGAAAUGUUAAGCAAGAAGUUUCCAUAUUUGAAUGCUAGCUUGUACUGAGCUAUUGGAAUUAACUUUGGGAAGAUCGUGAUGGUCAAGUAGCUUAUGCUAGGAUCAAUUUCUAAGUUCAUAUGGGAACAAGAUCGGUCAGAGGCUGUGAUCAAAAUCUCGAGUAUAAUUAUCUAUUAGGAAAAUGUUGUGUGGUUACUAAGACCUAAUUAACAUUAUUUGAGCAGGAGACAGAACCUCCAGAAUCUCAAAGUGGAAAUUUUGUAAAGGCAAAGUUGCUGAACAAUAUCUUCCAUUUAACUGGCUCAGUCCCAUAUGCUUCACUGCUUGAAGUUUGUACUGUUUACAAUAUCUUUUGCUGUGUAAAGAGUGGAUUGAAUUUCCUAAUAGUUAGUGAGUAGGACCCCAAUAAAGAGUAAUGUAGGAAUAAUUUGAUCUUUCACUUUAAAUAAACAUCUUUGAAAAAUAGUGUAACUGAAGAUAUGCCUUUCAGGUAUUGGAAAUAGAAUAAAAAAUAACUAUGAUUUUGUGUACCACUGAAUAAAGAAGCCUGAAAUUG